rnacentral:tRNA from 2 species
GGAGAGGUGGCCGAGUGGUCGAAGGCGGCGGUUUGCUAAACCGUUAUACGGGUAACACCGUAUCGGAGGUUCGAAUCCUCUCCUCUCCGCCA